GACCUUGAUGUGGCAUAUCUCUUUAGCCAGAGAAUUGUGAUUUGGGCGCCAUUUUCCUUUCUCUCCUUUCUUAUUCACUUUCACGAGCGCCAUUUUCUUUCACAACCGUUUCCCUUUUUUUUCUCCAAUCUAGACCUAAUCAGAUCAAUCAUUCCAAUAUCUUUCAUCCAAUUUUUUUUCUCUCUCCCAUUUCAAAAGAACCCUAAUUUCCCCUCAUUAUCUAUCGCGAUGAAGACGAGUGAUGGUGGUCUUACAACAGAUCUAGGGUUUAAGUGUUUAACGGUGAUUCCAGGCAACAACUAUGACUAGGGUUAUGGUGCACGACAUGAAGGGUGGCUCAUCAUGGCGGUGGUGGUGCCCGACAAUGGUUGCAUCGCAUAUGGUGGAAAGAAGCAAACCGAUUGAAAAGGUUUCUGGCGAAGGUUCAGGCGCCCUUAGCAGUUAUUGCAGAAUUUGAAAGUAAUUUCAGAUACGUCUGUUCUUGGUUCUGUUCUUCAAGAUCACCGGUCGUCCACAUGGAUUCAGUUUCGUUCUGUGUUUCAUGAUUUGUUCGUUUUUUGGAUCUGAAUAAUUAGUGAUGUUUUGUUGUGUAGUUGAUUUUUGGGGUCAAUGAUUGAUCUGAUUAUGUGUGAUUGUUGAGUGAUUAAGUGGUUAGUGCUGUAGGAUAGUGAAAUAACAGUUAUUUGGUUAGGUAAAAUGUGUCACUUUUGUAAUUUUGGCUAAAAUUAUAUUUGGAUGAAGUUUAUUUGGUUUUUUAGGGUUUUGAUCUAUAAGGUGAUGUUGAACUAUACUUUUGGGGUGAUAUUCAUAGUUUGUAUUUAAGUUGUUCUCGACCGAAGCUACGGUGAUUAGUGAAAGAGAAAACAUGAAGCUAUAUGUCAGUGCCUGAGAUAUGCAGAUAGUUUUCAAGGCGCAAAAGGUAUGACAGCUUUACUUUAGUGGAUUACAGGCUCCAAAUGAAGAAUACGAAGAAUAUCUUAGCCACCUCUUUGGUGAUAAGUGCACUGGCAACCGCAACGAGAUGGCCCAGCUGCCUGAAGGCAUUACAGAACUGCUAGAACAUGAGAAGCUUCCUGUUCCACUGAUCAAGUGUCAUAAUGUGAUUGUGCUCACUACAACAAAUGUUGAUGAGUUAGACCGACAAUGGGAUCCUUUGAUUGAUUUAAGGUCUACUAAUUUGCUAGCACCAACAGGACCGUUUGUAUCGAAGCAUUUAGAAACGUCACUCUUAGAUUUAGAAGUUGAUCAGCCUCUAUCCAAGAUUGCUAUUGAAUUUCCUGAUAUCUACACUGGUACAAACUACAUAUACGAUUUUAUCAAGGGUGUUAUCGGAAAACCAGAGCUGGGCCUCUCAUCAUAACCCUUGAAGGGAAGGAUCAAGAAACAGUAGAAGCAGCCAUGGAAGCACUUUCCAAGAAGUUACCAUCUGGCGUCAAACAAAUAUCGGUUUGAGGGUUCAUUUCUCAUCAUAAUCUGCUUCGUGACUGCACUUUAAUUCAUGUGUUGAGAUGAUGAAAUGAUUUAGGAAGAAAUUUUCGCUACGUUGAGUGAGAUGAUAAGGAAUUAGAAAUUCCGUGAAAAUGGAAUAAAAAAGGGUUUAGGGACCGAAUGACUUUUGUUAUCAGGAUGUAUAUAUAGACACCAAAUCUAUUGGCAGCAUUGAAGGGCAACUUUAUAGAACGGGUCAAAAGAUUCUCAUAAGUUUUAUACUGAAAAAGACGUCCACACUUUUGACAUAUUUCCACCAUUUUAGUCUUAUACUGAAAAAAAUGGUUUUUGUUUUUCCAAGUAAAUCGUUAAAUCUACAGGCUUUUUGUCAAAAUUUUUUCUGAUAUUUUUAACUAUUUUUGCUGCAUAAAGCGAAUGAAGGAGGAUCGAAACCGAGAGCACCGAAAUCUUCAUCGAAGUCGGCGUCUUCGAAUCCGGAGGAGCUUAAAAUUGAGAUAGCAGAGGUUUUAUAUGGUUUCACGACUCAGUCACAAGCUCCGUCAAAGAAAAAAAAUCCCGUCCAGCGAUUCAUUGAUCAAAUUCGAUUCGAAUAAGUCAAGUAGUGACACCAAAUCUAUAGUUUCAUCCCCCAUCUCAAACUCAACAGCUUUACCGCAAAAUUUGACGUCUUUGUCAAUUGUUGCACCAAAGAGGAACAUACCACGGCAAGUAUCAGAGAAUCCGGUUUCUUCUCCCAUAAAAACCGAGAUUGAUCAGCCUCAGCAUUAUCAGUUAGAUAUAUCUUCUCCUUAUUUGGAAAACAACAGUCCAGCGUCGCUGCCGAUUCGACGAAAUCUACAAUAGGCAAUGACAGUGCUUUUCGUGCUGGUGUAGAUAUAGUCUCCGAGCGCAAUAUGAUUAAAAAAGGCCAACGCCAAACAUGUGUAACGUAUUGCUUGAUGCAUAUGCAAUAUUUGAAAUGGUGGAGUGGGUGAAUAUCGUAUUCAAGAGCAUGUGUAGGGACCAGUGAAUUUCAUUACACUCAUGAGUCAUGAGCUCUCUUUAUAUUUCAAAAAAGAUCCUUGAAAACUUUAUUUAAGCAAGACUGGAGGUCGAGGAAGAAGGUGCAGAUACUACAAUACAAUACGUUACAUUGAAGUGGACACUAGCACCUCUUAUAGGUGUAUCUAAAGAAUGGUCGUAGUUGAGGUUAGAGAGCAAUAACUAUUGCACAUGUGGAGGUGGAGAGUGUUGAAAAUGGAGUUGGAAUGGUCAAGGGUAUGGGUCGACACAAUACAAUGGCAAGUAUCAAAAAUCUUUAAGACAGUGAUGGUAAUACAAGUUGUAAAAAUGGUCAGAAAAGGAUAUAUUAUUAUCACGAAGUUCAUGAAUAAAUUCUAUCUUAAUUGUAGUGUGAUGAUUAGGUUGCUCAUGAUGUAGAUAUUUGUGAGUAGAUUGGAAAACAUAUUAUAUAUAUGAAUUUAUCAGGCUGUUAAUAUUGAAACAGAAAUAUUGGGGGUUCCUGCAAGCGGGUAUAGUUCAUACAUGGACUAUUGCUCAAGGCUUUGUCACCUAUCAAUUCUGUGCCAAUCUGGUAUCUUUUGGCGUUUUAGGCAUCCAUACUUUCGGUUCAUUACCGGUUCAGUACGGUAUGUUACUUUACUCACUUUUUAUCUUCGAAUAUCGUACCAUGCAAUUUUGGUAUCGGUGCAGUACCAAGCUCAUCUCUACUGCUACUACAUCUUCACCGAAACCUAUACCUUUUUGCGGGUAUUAUUUCUUGGUUUUUUUUAAUAUUGUUGAUUAAUGGUACUUCGGCACAAAGAAAUCAAUGAUAACGGGUGCAUAUUUGGUGAUUAGUUGUAUUUUGGCGCAUAUAAAUUUUAAAUUUCAGAUUGAAAUCAAUGAUAACUAGCUGCAUAUUGGUGAAGUCGGUCCACACCAUUGGGUGGAACCUGGGAGAAGAUUGCGAGGUAUGAUUUUAAUUACUUUGAUGAUUUAUGGCGUUGAUUUUUAUUAUCAAAAUGGAACUAAAUGAUACAUCAUGCUCAAGUGUAACAUGAACUGGAAUUCCAAAUGUUGGGGUUUGAGAAGAUGACUAGAAUAGUUUACUGGAAUGGUGGUAAAUGCAAUAUUUUGUUUUUGCAAGCUUUUUUGUGGAUUAAUGUUGUUUUGCAGGAAGAUUACAUGUUUGUUUUGCAAAACAUGAUGUAAUAUACUUUUAAGUAGAUUAUUCUUAAUUAUUUGAGGUGUAAUUGAGAAUGUUAUAGUUUAAACAUUAUUGUUUUA